rnacentral:lncRNA from 1 species
CCUUACUGUGGUAAUAACACACACUAGCACUACGUUCAUGUUAAAUAUAUUGGAUGUGGCCCACGUAAUUUAUUUAAGUCGAUCUAUAAAGAUACAGUCGGUCUAUUCAAAUCAAUUUAUAAACAUAUGAUAGAUCUAACGAUUAGAAUGUAUUUGGACACAUCCUUAAACGUCCUUAAUAGAUAAACGUGAUUUAACAUUCUUACACCAAAAUUAUUUAUAAAUAUGUAACAUACGAGAGCCCCGGUCUAAUCCUAAUCCUAAUUUCUAUGACGGCUCCAUCUUCGAGGAUAAGGAAAUUAUACUCAAAACGUCCCGCUUUUUGUUAAUCGUGAAUGAGGACAAACCACAAUAAAAAACUCACUGUCUACAAUUUAAAUUUAGAAAUCGAAAUUAUGACAGAGGGUGCGAUCUUAAUAUAUAAUAAAAUUUUAAUAUGUGCUAUUAGA